CAGUCGAGGUGUCUCGACUUGACUGAGUAUUUUACGUUGGUGAAAAAUGAACAAUCCAGGUUCUCCCGUUGAACUACAUACUCUGAUUUCCAUCGGACCGAAAACGCACCACAGCCGUCAUAGUGUCACUGUUAGUAAAAGCACACGGCAACUAAAACACAACAUGAAAUUCUAAAGGG